AUUGAACGCUGGCGGCAUGCCUUACACAUGCAAGUCGAACGGCAGCACGGACUUCGGUCUGGUGGCGAGUGGCGAACGGGUGAGUAAUAUAUCGGAACGUACCUUUCAGUGGGGGAUAACUAUCCGAAAGGAUAGCUAAUACCGCAUAUUCUGUGAACAGGAAAGCAGGGGAUCUUCGGACCUUGCGCUGAUUGAGCGGCCGAUAUCAGAUUAGCUAGUUGGUGAGGUAAAGGCUCACCAAGGCUACGAUCUGUAGCGGGUCUGAGAGGAUGACCCGCCACACUGGAACUGAGACACGGUCCAGACUCCUACGGGAGGCAGCAGUGGGGAAUUUUGGACAAUGGGGGCAACCCUGAUCCAGCCAUGCCGCGUGAGUGAAGAAGGCCUUCGGGUUGUAAAGCUCUUUCGUCCGGGAAGAAAUCGCAUUGGCUAAUACCUGAUGUGGAUGACGGUACCGGAAUAAGAAGCACCGGCUAACUACGUGCCAGCAGCCGCGGUAACAC
rnacentral:rRNA from 1 species